CAAAGAAGUCUGCGAGAUAUCAAGAUGGUCCAAGUUAUUACGCCUGGGAUUCUCGAACAGUUUGUCAAUCCGACUGCGAGGCAGUCGGACUUGAAGUUCGAACCAUCGCAGGAAGAGUUCUGUAUCUUUAUGUUCGGUCGUGGAAGCUUUGAGGACUUUCAACUGAAAGGAUACGAUGUAAUCGGAAAAGCUGUGGCUUUGCUGGAAAGAAAAUUCGAGCUCACAUUUGUCGGUGCAGCAGAAGAUGAACAACGGAGGGUAGAAAAGUGGUUCCUGGAGGAAACGAAAAUAUCACGUGAGCAGUUAACCGUUCGUGGAUUCUGCAGUUAUGAGGAAAUGAAGAGGAUGUUACAGGAAGCGGACUUAGUCGUCAUGCCAUCCCGCACAGAGGGCUUUGGUUUGGUUUCCCUGGAGUCAAUAUCAGCUGGUGUGCCUGUACUUGUCUCGAGUGAAAGUGGAGUAGCCAAAGCUCUUCAAGACGUGGAAGGUGGGAUGUCUACAGUUGUCAAGUCACAUGCACCAGAAGAGUGGGCCAAUAGGAUACGUCGGUUGUCUGAGCAGAAACCAGGAAGCAGACAUUCCGCUGCCUUGCAGCUUAGAGAGCAAUAUAACCUGAAGUAUUCUUGGCAAGGGGAAUGUAAGAAGUUUGAGAAGAUGAUUCUACACUUGGUGAAAGGGACUCAACCUGAUGUUCCCCUAAGUUGUCAUUUGACAGGGAACACUACCACAGAGGAUGUUCCAAAGGCAGUUUUCACAAUGGAUGGCAAGGAGGUUCCCAAAAGUGAAUAUUUACCAAGGCCAAUUAAUGCAGAACAAAAAAAGAGAAGCAAGAAGGAAGUACAAGCAGUAAUUGAUGCAGGCUGUUCACCUAAACCUGCAGUACACACAAAUGGAAGAGUUCAAGGAGUGCAAAUAGAAAUUGUAGGCACUUCAAAUAAAACAGGAGAACAGACAUUCAAAGGAAGCAAGCAAGAAAGGAAAUUAUCAGAUUUUAAAAGAGUUUGGAACAAGAAGCAAGCAAAGUGAAAGCAUUAAUGAUAGUGAUGAUGGGAUUGUUGACACACAGAGAUACCAGCUUGAAGAUUUUAGCAUAAGGAGUGCAGUUGUUUCAUCAACUGACUUGGGAUGCAAAAACCCCUUUUCAUCGAUGACAUCAGAUUACUCAACAACUUCAAACCUUCCACCAACCACAGUCGUUAAUUCAAGGGAAGAGAGUUUUGUUGGUGGAAUUACGGAAAUAGUUUCGUACUCAAGUAAGCGUAACAGAGAACUGCAAGAGGAGAGAUUUUGUGGUAGUAAUAACCCAGAUAGCAGAGGUACAUGCACUGAAGAGGGUGCAACUCUCUUACAGAGACCUAAACUAUUAAGGUUUGUGUCUUGGCCAUCAGAUCCACCUCUUAAGGAUACAGAUCUGUUAGAGCGUAACCAGGCUGUAAAGAGCUAUAAGCGGUCAAAAUCUCAUGAGCCAAAAAGUAAAUCAAAGGACCUAAAGAAAUCUCCUUGGAAAAGGGUAGCCAAUUUUCUCUCUAGAAAGGGACACAAGAGGUCAUGUGAUCCAUUUAACAGUGAGGAAAACUCUAGUGAAUCAAGUUUAGACAGGUCUAUGGUGAUAUCAUCCACUGGAUCUGACUCCCACGAUGAACCUGAACAAAAUUCAACUGAAAAUCUGUCUCCCUUCAAAGGAAAAGGUACACAGAGGUUGUCCAUUUCAGGGUGUGUGUACUCAGGAGAAUCUGUAGCUUCCCCAACAGCUGCUUUGAAGAGACGCAUAAGAUCAUAUGAACCAUCUAACUGUGAGGGAAACCCUGGUGAAUCAAGUUUGGACAAGUCUGUGGUGAUAUCAUCCACUGGAUCUGACUGUCACGAUGAAUCUGAGCAAACUUCAACUGAAAAUCUGUCUCCCUUCAAAGAAAACGAUGCACAGAGGUUGUCUAUUUCAGCCAGUGUAAGCUCAGGAGAAUCUGUAGCUUCCCCAAAAGCAGCUGGGUAUCAGUCAAGCUGCCGCAAGCUCAGGGAUAACGAUCUCCAUCAUUCACUGCUCUCACAUGGAAGAAAGAGCUUUUGAAGAUGAGGUUUUGAAACUGUUCUAUCAUUUUAGUGAAAACUUGGCAUACAAGUGCCACCUGGACAAGCUUGAGAUGGUCAAAGUAGCUGAAAAUAAGCUUCGUUGGCCUAUGCAAAGUGUCCAUCGGAGUGAUUUUCUUUUCAUCUGUGUUUCUCCAGAACUGAAAAGAAUUUUUGAUUUGCCUCCCAAGGAGAUCAGUACUAGUCUUGAAGGUUACUUGUAGCUUUUUGAUUACUGUGUUUUGAAUUUCAUAUUGAAUGAUUCAAAACUGCAAUGUUCAUUUCCUUGUUUUGUAAAAAAGUGUUGUAAGAGGCGUCCUUUACCUUCAAAAUUGUAACAUGAAUUAGCUGAAUGUUGGGUGUUUUAAAGAACAACUUGUUGUCCACACAACAGUAUGCAGUUACAUGCAUGCAGUACAAUACAAUUUUCUGACU
rnacentral:misc_RNA from 1 species